UACGGAGGGUGCAAGCGUUAUCCGGAUUCACUGGGUUUAAAGGGAGCGUAGGUGGGCUGGUAAGUCAGUGGUGAAAUCUCCGGGCUUAACCCGGAAACUGCCGUUGAUACUAUCAGUCUUGAAUGUUGUGGAGGUAAGCGGAAUAUGUCAUGUAGCGGUGAAAUGCUUAGAUAUGACAUAGAACACCGAUAGCGGAGGCAGCUUGCUACACAAUGAUUGACACUGAGGCACGAAAGCGUGGGGAUCAAACAGG
rnacentral:rRNA from 1 species